UACGUAGGGCGCAAGCGUUAUCCGGAAUUAUUGGGCGUUAAAGGAGCUACGUAGGCGGUUUGUCGCGUCUGCCGUGAAAGUCCGGGCUCAACUCCGGAUCUGCGGUGGGUACGGGCAGACUAGAGGUAGGCAGGGGCAAGUGGAAUUCCUGGUGUAGCGGUGAAAUGCGCGAUAUCAGGAGAACACCGGUGGCGAAGGCGGCUGCUGGCGUACCUGCGCUGAGAGCGAAGACGUGGGGAGCGAACAGGAUUAGA
rnacentral:rRNA from 1 species